GCAGUCGCAACCAUUUAAUUUGAAAAAGGAAUGCGCCCGUUUUUCGCCGUUAAAUGUUGCAGCCUAAGUUUGGAUGGAGAAUUAAGUGCGACGAAGAUGGCCGUUAAUAAUAGUUCUACUACUUUAAGAACACGGUUCAGAUUUGGAUAACGACUUCGAAGGCAUUUGCAGGAGACCAAACAGAGAAAGAGAGGGAGACACAAAACCACCUGUCUCGGUGUCACACAUGAGGAGUUGAGGAGGAGAUGAAGUCAGUGAAUAUGACCUGGCCUGGGGGAGUUUCCAGAAGAAGGCCCAGAAUCGCUGGAUGCCAGGAGUGGAGAUCCUUCGUUGCUGCCCUACAUGAUAGGAGGCAUCGGGCAGUAGAUGCUGUAAUUUGAAACGGAAGGUGUCCUGCCAAUAAAUUUUCAUCCCACCUGAACUGCCUUGCCUGCCUGCACCCAGUCAUCUGUUCCUGAGCAUUUUCAUUUUCCUCUAUUUUUCAUCAUCGUUUGUUUCGGCCUGUAUGAAGUGAAUUUCACAUUGAUUGGUGGAGCUGCUAAGUUGGCAUUACAGGGCCACGCCGGGGUAUGAUCCUUUGGGUUGAACAUCAUGACUGCUACUUGGUCGGCAAAGGUGAUGGGAUCGAUCAAUGUCACAUGGAGUAAGAUCGAUACCAAUCUGCUUUGCUACAUUUCGAACAAUCUCAUACGGAUACGGAUAUUAUUGCGACAGGAGUACUGCUCGAUGUGGUCAAGCCUAUUUGACAAAGCAUUAUGGUGUUAGUCAUGUUAUCAGAAACCGAUUUUUCAAAAUCACGGAGUUGCUUCAAUUUAGUAUCGAUAGAUAUUUCAAGAAUGUGUAGACUAGUGAGCUUUUCAUCAAGAAUUUCACGCAAUUUAUUUUCGCGCUUAUCCAUGUCAUCAUUGAGUUUUUGUCUCUCGCGUUCCAUUGCCACGGCCACCGCUCUUUGAACGACUGUAUCAAUAUGAUCUAGGUAUGCUGGGCUUUGUUUAGAUCCAGUUAAUGAUGAAGCAGAGGUUUGUGUACAUGCGUUAGCCGAGUGCAAGCGGCCUCUUGAUCUGGUGGAUAUCUUAGACAUGUUAGAGAUUACGUAAUGAUAUAAUUGAAAAGUGGGAUGGGCUGUGCAUCUGCCAACUCACCAGUCAACCAAUUAGAGACGGCCUUCCAAAGUGACACAGCACGAAAAUAUCAAUAUGGGACUGGUCUAGUCAACACAUAUAUCCUGAAAAAACCAUGGAGACCGCAGGCGCAAAAUGACUUCCAUACAUAAAGAUAUGAUGCACAAUUUCCAGUGGGUUCAAAACACUGAACACAUGCUAUGCUGAUACACAGACUAUCAUAAGAACUUUAUCAAGCAAAGGAAAUCUGGUAUGAAAUCUCUCAGCUCACAUAAAAAGCCUACGUAGCUACAUGUAGGGAAGAAAAUGCGUAAUUGCUGAGAAAUGAGCAAAAUAAGCAUGUAAUUCUAUCAAAUGUCAGGUAUUUUUCGAAUCGAUUAUAAUACACUGUCCCACAUAUGCUUUUCUGUGUUUACAGCGAUCAUCAGAAUUAUCGAUUUUAAGUUAAAAAAUUCAUGAUUUUACAAAGAUACAAGUUUACAUUAAUGUACCAGAUGUAGAUUAUGUACAAUAUAUUGACAAUUAACUUUGAUUUUAUAGAUUUUCUCAAGAAAUAAUUGUUUGCUGCAACUACUGUCUUUUCCUUCUAAGUGAUAGUGUAAUACAACAGUUCCACAAACUUUUUUCAUCAGACUUAUUGAUGCAUGAUUCUUUCACCCAAAUGCAAGCUUCCAUAAAUCCUGAAAACUUUGCAACUCAGGUAUUUUUUUGUUUACAUACAGUAUAUUUUUUCCUACAUUACAUAGUUGCCUUAAGUUAAUAGCGCACCUCUAGUAGUAACUAUCUUAAAAUGAGUUCGAACAGAAUCCAACAGAAUUACCAGCAAAGUGUAUGUAUAUAUAAAAGAUGUGUGCCAAAAAGCUCGGGAAGAAAAUGUGUAAUUGCUGAGAAAUGAGCAAAAUAAGCAUGUAAUUCUAUCAAAUGUCGGGUAUUUUUCAAAUCAAUCAUAAUACACUGUCCUGUCCCACAUAUGCUUUUCUGUGUUAGUGAUCAUCAGAAUUAUUGAUUUUAAGAUCAAAAUUCAUGAUUUUACAAAGAUACAAGUUUACAUUAAUUUACCAGGGCCCCGUCUUACAAAGAGUUAUGAUUGAUCCGAUCAAUCGCAACUAUGGACGGUCAGCAACGUUAACAUCUAUUAAGCAUGUUUGUUCAAAAUAUUUUCUAGCUAUGAUGUAUGUUCAUGCAUUCAUUGUUUUCUCAAAAAUUCGCUGCGCUUCUCUUUGCAUACAAAGGACAUUGUGCAAAUUUUUCGUAGAAAAAAAUUAUGACACUGAUGGAUUUCCAUAGAGUUAUGAUUGAUCGGAUCAAUCGUAACUCUUUGUAAGACGGCCCAGAUCUAGAUUAUGUACAAUAUUUUGACAAUUAACCUUAAUUUAAAAGACUUUCCGAAGAAAUAAUUGUUUGCUGCAACUACUGUCUUUUACCCCUGGCCCUAAGUGAUAGUGUAAUACAACCCAAACAUUCAUAAGAAUUAAUGUACAUGUAGGAUUCUUUCACCCAAAUGCGAGCUUCCAUAAAUCCUGAAACUAUUCCAACUCGGGUAUUUUUUUUUUACAUACAGUAUAUUUUUACCUACAUUACAUAGUUGUCUAAAGUUGAAGGUAUAUUUAAUUACAAUUUCAACGAAAAAGCUUUAUUCGUGGAGAUCAUUAUGCCUCUGUUAUGUAUUAAUGUGUAUUUAUACAUGUACAAUUGUAUGUAUUGGUAUAACAAACAUUGUAAUUUCAUUCCUUUGACCCUAAUACUGCAUUUUCAUAGAGAAGUUUUUUUUUUUCAAUCUAUUUAGAGUUUUCAACAUUUUGUAUUCCUUUUUUUUUUUUGCUGGUAAUAUGUUAUGCAACUUUUAUUUAUUAAUAGAAUAUUUGCCACGAUUUCGU